AUGCUUCCUAGUUUCCAGAAACAUUAUUUAGACAAGGUGCAACCAGUUUGUCUUUCAAUAAAUAUGAAUUGCUUCAAGCAAGAAAGAUUCUGGCAACAUGUGCUCUCCACUCUGAAUCUCAAAAACCUGAGGACAUGUCACACCCAGGUAAGCAUUUCUAUCAUCAAGGAAUGGUAAG
rnacentral:lncRNA from 1 species